AAACUGCCCCCAGCUCUGCCACCCCCUCAAGCUCCUACACCGGCUCCCUUCCCUUCAGGACUCGACUUCCACAAGAGUCACACACGCGUGUCCACUUCCUCUUCACCCACGUGCCUGUGAGAGCCUCCUCGCACACACGCCUGCAAUCCCGAGCAGCGGGUCCGCCUGCAGCGCUCUAACGACACGAGCCUUCCACCAGCGAGGACCUGAAGCAGAAAGCAAGUGCCUGUUCCCUGCACUGGUCCUCCUCUGCACCUCGCUCUCUGAAGCGCACACUCUCCUCCUCGAAACUCCACCUUCCAGCGGGUUCGGCGUCAGGGGAAGCUUCUGGCUCUGCCUCUCUGUCCUCGCUGAUUUCUCCUCUAGUUUCUAGGAGUGGGCUAGGCAGGGACAGCCGCAAGAUACCCUAAACCUUCAGGAUGUCCUAACUUGGCAAAUGCCGGAACACCUGCAGAGGUUCGGAGCUUCCUCCUGAGUCGUGUUGGAGGCAGGGGCCCGUCUCCUGUGUUUCAGUCACUGCCACCAGGUAAGCGCUUCGAUAACUUUUGCUAAAGCGUAACUCUCACUUGAUGACCAUUUUCUACAAAGAAGUAAAUCACCUAAAUGAGAAUUACCGCCUCUACCACGAUGAGGAAGAAAAACUCAGGAUGCCGGGCAACUUGGUAGAUUCACGCCGAGCCAGGGGGCUCACUCCCGCAGCAGCCGGCCCGGUCACGCCUCGAAAGAUCUGCGAGCGCCAUGCCGUUAACUCUCAGCCUCUUCAAAACAUACAGACUCCAAGCGCCGCACCAGACACGCGAACGUCAGGGCAUCCUCCCGCUCCAGCAGCGCAGGCUCUCCGCGGCCUUCUCUUUCACCUCGAGGAUGCGACCGUCACUCCCAGGUGGACGGGGCUUCCUCUGGCACCCUGGGCUCUGUCCUCCGAUCCCGACACCAUCACGCCCACACUCUGUCGGGUGCCUCAGACUCAUAUGCCUGACACUAAUCAAUCGUCCCCAGCCCCACCUCCUCCUGCGGUUCUGAGUUGAGUCAAGGACGUGACGGGAACCUCCAAGGGCAGCCAUCCUCUCUUUGAGAUGAAGCUGGAGCCUCUCAUCAGACUCUGACAGAAGCUUGUCGACGGUGUCGGACAGGCGUUUGUUAUGCUCCUCGUUCAUCUUCUCUCUCUGACUUGCCUGGAACAGGAGAAACAAAAACCUGGCCACUGCGAGCAAAGGCAGGAUCGUUUCCCCCACCGUGGAGUCACCCGUGCCGCCAUCCCUGGGCUGUUCCGGCCCUCCGCCAUCAGUGGACAUCUACACGAUGACCAGGACUGCCUCACAGGCGCAGAGAAAGGCAGGGCCAAGUCUGCGAGAGCGUUAAUGAGAACGUCCACUGCUCCUUAAACGAGGCCCUCACGGGGCCUCAGCAACGUCACCCAUCCCUGACUGUCGGGUGGGCUCCAGGAGCAGAUUUACACCCAGACACAGCAGAGUUUCAAGGGGAUCAGCUUAUCCACACACCAGUGGAGGAAUCUGCCCAUGUAAACAGAAGCUUGCGUCUGGAUUCAGGAGAAAAAAUGAACUCAACUCACAAAGCAAAAGGUAAAGAAAUUCAUCUGGGGAAAAAACAGUGGAGACAGAGACUUUCACCUGUUCUUUAUACUCCUACAUCACUUGAAUUUUUCGUAAUGAACGUUUAUGUUGAAAAAUUACAAAUAAUCACGAGUAAUUUUAAAACUUAAAAAUAAAGUCGCUAAGUCUGUGUUUUAUAAAACUAUCAUCAAUUUCAUGGCUUAAAAAGCUUGCUUUCACCCCUUAUUCUGAACAAAGACAAAGGGCACGUGGAGGGGACAGGAAGGGCUAACAGGCGGCACCUGUCAGGGUGAGUCCCCCGGGCCGGUGGGCAGCUCCCGGGCAGAGGGCAGCAUGGCUCGGGGGCUGAGACCUGCGCUCAAGCCACGCUGCCUGGAGGAGCAGCCCACAGGGAAUCGCCAACACAGUCAAGCCCUCCGUGCUUCAGCGUCCUCAGCUGACCACCACGGGUGCCAGCAUCUCCCUUUUCUCAUGGGUCACGGUCAAAUCAAACAGAAGGCUCUCAGAAUCAUGCCCAACACACAGCAGCUACCACCAUCU
ensembl:lncRNA